UACGAAGGGGGCUAGCGUUGCUCGGAAUCACUGGGCGUAAAGGGUGCGUAGGCGGGUCUUUAAGUCAGGGGUGAAAUCCUGGAGCUCAACUCCAGAACUGCCUUUGAUACUGAAGAUCUUGAGUUCGGGAGAGGUGAGUGGAACUGCGAGUGUAGAGGUGAAAUUCGUAGAUAUUCGCAAGAACACCAGUGGCGAAGGCGGCUCUCUGGACACUUACUGACGCUGAGACGCGAAAGCGUGGGGAGCAAACAGG
rnacentral:rRNA from 1 species